AUUGAACGCUGGCGGCAGGCUUAACCCAUGCGAGUCGAACGAGUGGAGGACGGGUGAGUAAUGCUUGGGAAUCUAGCUUAUGGCGGGGUAUAACUACGGGAAACUGUAGCUAAUACCGCGUACCAUAGGAUGAACCCAAGUGGGAUUAGGUAGUUGGGGAGGUACAGGCUCACCAAGCCGAAGAGCUCUAGCUGGUCUGAGAGGAUGACCAGCCACACUGGGACUGAGACACGGCCCAGACUCCGACGGGAGGAAGCAGUGGGGAAGAUUGCGCAAUGGGGGCAACCUGACGCAGCCAUGCCGCGUGAAUGAAGAAGGCCUUCGGGUUGUAAAGUUCUUUCUGUAGCGAGGCGUUAACUACAGAAGAAGCACCGGCUAACUCCGUGCCAGAAGCCGCGGUAAUAC
rnacentral:rRNA from 1 species